rnacentral:rRNA from 1 species
UUGGAGGGCAAGUCUGGUGCCAGCAGCCGCGGUAAUUCCAGCUCCAAUAGCGUAUAUUAAAGUUGUUGCAGUUAAAAAGCUCGUAGUUGAAUUUCGGGGUUAGUAGGUUGGUCAUGCCUCUGGUAUGUACUGGUCUCACUGAUUCCUCCUUCCUGAUGAGCCGUAAUGCCAUUAAUUUGGUGUUGCGGGGAAUUUGGACUGUUACUUUGAAAAAAUUAGAGUGUUUAAAGCAGGCUAUUGCCUGAAUACAUUAGCAUGGAAUAAUGAAAUAGGACGGCAUGGUUCUAUUUUGUUGGUUUCUAGGAUCACCGUAAUGAUUAAUAGGGAUAGUUGGGGGCAUUAGUAUUCAAUUGUCAGAGGUGAAAUUCUUGGAUUUAUUGAAGACUAACUUCUGCGAAAGCAUUUGCCAAGGAUGUUUUCAUUAAUCAAGAACGAAAGUUAGGGGAUCGAAGACGAUCAGAUACCGUCGUAGUCUUAACCAUAAACUAUGCCGACUAGGGAUCGGACGAUGUUAAUUUUUUAAUGACUCGUUCGGCGCCUUACGGGAAAC